rnacentral:lncRNA from 1 species
UCAAAUCUCCAGUUAUAAAAAAAAAUGAACCGAUUAAAAUGUCUACCUGCUAUAAGGUAAAUACCAUAUCAUUAGGUAUACUACAAUUAAAGAAGAGGGAAAAAUAGGGGAGGACUCGAAAGGUAAAUCAUAUGUGCACAUCUUCAAAUUUAGGAAUGCAUUCAACUUGACCUUCAUACAUCAAUGGAUGACAAGAAUAUACCUGGAGUUCAGCAAAGAAUAGAAAACUAUGAGUAAAUGCAAUUAAUCAGCCAGGCAAAAUAGCAGCCAAUCGAACAGUAUACCCAGGAUUUCAGCAGAUUUUAGAGAGAAU